GAGUUUGAUCCUGGCUCAGAACGAACGCUGGCGGCAGGCCUAACACAUGCAAGUCGAGCGAGACCUUCGGGUCUAGCGGCGGACGGGUUAGUAACGCGUGGGAACGUGCCCUUUACUACGGAAUAGUCCCGGGAAACUGGGUUUAAUACCGUAUACGCCCUUCGGGGGAAAGAUUUAUCGGUAAAGGAUCGGCCCGCGUUAGAUUAGAUAGUUGGUGGGGUAAUGGCCUACCAAGUCUACGAUCUAUAGCUGGUUUGAGAGGAUGAUCAGCAACACUGGGACUGAGACACGGCCCAGACUCCUACGGGAGGCAGCAGUGGGGAAUCUUAGACAAUGGGCGCAAGCCUGAUCUAGCCAUGCCGCGUGAGUGACGAAGGCCUUAGGGUCGUAAAGCUCUUUCGCCAGGGAUGAUAAUGACAGUACCUGGUAAAGAAACCCCGGCUAACUCCGUGCCAGCAGCCGCGGUAAUACGGAGGGGGUUAGCGUUGUUCGGAAUUACUGGGCGUAAAGCGCACGUAGGCGGACUGGAAAGUUGGGGGUGAAAUCCCGGGGCUCAACCUCGGAACUGCCUCCAAAACUACUAGUCUAGAGUUCGAGAGAGGUGAGUGGAAUUCCGAGUGUAGAGGUGAAAUUCGUAGAUAUUCGGAGGAACACCAGUGGCGAAGGCGGCUCACUGGCUCGAUACUGACGCUGAGGUGCGAAAGUGUGGGGAGCAAACAGGAUUAGAUACCCUGGUAGUCCACACCGUAAACGAUGAAUGCCAGUCGUC
rnacentral:rRNA from 1 species